rnacentral:tRNA from 1 species
GCGCGCGUAGCUCAGUUGGUAGAGCGUUCGUCUUAUACACGAAUGGUCGGGGGUCCGAAUCCCUCCGCGCGCA